AUGCUCAGAAGCCUAUUUGAAGGAAAAUCUCUCAUUCCAGUUUGCCUUCACCUGAGAAGGAAACAGACCCACGUGCCUGGCCACGGGUGCCGCCAGAACACUGUGGUAACAAACAAGUUUAAAAGCAGUGGCUCCUGCAAGAAAGUUAUGUUUGUUGCUUCUUCUUCGGAUUGGCCUGGGUUUAACUCCUGCCACCUGAAGAUCACUGGAAGGAGCAGCCUCCCUCUGGAAGAGGGCCAAAGUUACAGGCCAAGCUUAACUCCAGAAGGGUCAGGAAAAUAGAGAUCUUGCUUCGAGAGAGGCACUGGAUAUUGCCAUAUGAACCAGAAAAGCAAUGUACUCAUCUAUCAUAUGGGAAUAAAAGGUCACACCCGUUGUACAGAGCAACUGAGAUUACAUGGAAUAAUCCAUCUGAAGAGUCUUGUGUGAUACCUGCAAGUGAGGUAAGUAGCUGUAAGAGUACGUGGCUCAAACUGCAGCUUGAGUAUCAUCACUACGAUUCAUGUAUUGAAAUUUUUUCUCCCAACUGUGGCAGGUAGACGUAUUUGGUGAGUACACAAAGCAAUGUCGGAAGUGCUGGAAUACCCUUCCUCUUCCUCUGAAAACUUUCUUGCAGUCUUGUUAUCAGAGAAUCUUUUCUUCAGAUUAACACACCUCUCUUUAAAUCAGAGCAAAGUUGCACCUCACUCUGGACAGUAAAGGUUUCUGCAGUGUUUCAAAUAGCUGUUAUUGAUUGCUUAUUGAAGAAAAAAAAAGGAAUUAGUAUUUGAUUUAGUCAAGGAGAUCUUGCAUUGUUGGUCAGGAUGAGCAGAUGGAUGUAUGUGGGCCAUGCUAGUGGGGUUUCGAGUAAUUGCUGAGUAGGUCAACGAUACAGAUGGGUAGGAGGCUCAGGAAUAGGAUGCAUUGUUCAGCUGCAGCUAAACUGGACUAUGGUAACAACUCCAAAAUCUUGGCGGCGUAUAACAGCAAAGGCUGACUGGGCACAAGUUAUGUAGAAAAGGGGAACAUGAUGGAACCAUGUGGGGAAUCUCAGUGGCUUACUUGGAACUGGUGCAUCUCACUUCCAUUUGCAUUUUAUCCACUAAAGCCAGGCACAUCACCAAGUUCAACCAUAAGAAAAUUCUCCACAGCUUAUAAUAUAAGGUAGCUGAAAACUGCAUAAGUGAAACCAACAGGGCCAUUUUAGGACCAAGAUGUGUUACAUCUUGUAUUGGCUUCAUUAACAUGUUCUUCCCAAAUCAAGAACGGAUAAUUUCUAACGUGACAAAAUACUUAAGGAAAUAUUGCAAAAGGACAAGGAAGAUCAGGAAAGAUGAAACAUAAUUAAAUCAACAUUUAGAUUCACUGUGAGAUGAACAAUGUUCUCUUCCAAAUUCAUAUGUUUAAGUCCUUACUCCUGAGGCAUCAGAAUAUGACAGUAUGUGGGAUAGGGUCUUUCCAGAGGUAUUUGAGUUAAAAAGAGGUCAUCAGGGCAAGUCCUAAUACAAUGUAACUGGUAUUACAGGACCGGGAGACGAGGACCCAUUUGGACAAAGAAGGACGACCAUGUGAAGACAGGAGAAAAUGACCAGCUGCAAGGCAAAGAGAGAGGGCUUACAAGAAACUAACCCUACUGACAACUUGUUCUGGGACUUCAAGCUUCCCCAGUUGUGAAAGAAUAGAUUUCUGUUGUUAGAGUCACCUGGUCUAUGGUACUUUGCUGCGGACACCAUAGCUCACUAAUACAAGGUUUUAGCUUACAACAUGAGGAAUAUCCACUGUCCUCCUCCCCAUCCAUACCAUGAUGAAGAGGAGCAGAUCAUCCUAUCCUGCCCUACCCCUGAUCUAGAGACCGGGAUUGAGCAGUUCUCUUGGGUCUUUCAAUGGGCAAGAACCAGGUUUAAUGCCACAAAAAAGUCUGUUUUCUUGUUCCCAGCCACCCAUGCCUUUUCACUGGCCAUCUUGUUUAGGUAAUAAUGGCUCAAGGCAAGCCCAUUGAGAAUGUUCCUUUUCACUGCUGGUGACAGUAUACUGAUUAGUUAAGCUAGCUGUACCCAUCAGCUCUUCUUUUCUUCCCUCAAGUUAGAUACAGGCACUUGAACUUGAGAUUUGUUAACAAUAAAUUUAUUCUCAAAUUCCAAGCAAGUAAUGCAUUAUAGAUGUGUUGGAUUCUAAACAAGUAAUCAAAAUAUGUUAUAACUCUGUUGGUUUAAUAGCCAUAGUGCACACUUAUUUUCACUCUGGCAUUUUUUAGGCUAUUGUAGAAAUAGCUGCCAAUGGAUUUGUGUGUGUGUGUGUGUGUGUGUGUGUGUGUGUGAUAGCAUAGCACAUACUAGGUGUUCUUAUUCAAUAAAGACAUUGUGGAAAAAAUGAUGAGCUACAUACCAUUUUCUCUUCAUGUACAAAAAUGCCUAACAUGUACAGAUCGUUUAAAGUUGUGCUCAACUGACAGUCCCAAUUGUAUUUACCAGGAAUGGAAUUUUUCUCAGAGCCACCCUAUCUGCAGAGUUUUACAGGGUCUUGUUGCUUAAAGCAAAGAUGGUUCUAUUUUGAACCCUUGGGAUUUCAAAAAUCUAAUUUA
rnacentral:lncRNA from 1 species